GCUGCCAUGGUGAAAUUGGUAGACACGCUGCUCUUAAUGAGCAGUGCUCAUGCGUCUCGGUUCAAGUCCGAGUGGUGGCA